rnacentral:lncRNA from 1 species
UAAACUAACAAUAAACAAAACCAAAGGUUAGUUGUUGAAAGGGGCCCAGGCUUGCUAUGGGCCCAACUGCCAAUUGCUGGUUUCAUGUCAAACAAUGAGAAAACAAGUGGGCUUAACAUGGAGCCCAAAUUGGGAAUCUUAUAGCAGGGAGAGGGAUUUUAGCACAAUUGGGCCAAUACUAAUAGCCCAAAGUCGUGAUUCAGCACUAAUAAUUGAGGCAAAUUACAUUAUCCAUGAAAAUCUUGAGUUUGAAAACAAAAACUAGCAAUCUUUGCCGACUCUGUACAGAUGCACAACAACAUUUUUAAGCUCAAAUCACAUUCCAUAAUAAAAUGCCAACCUUAAUGUCAUAUAGCUCAAACACCAAUUAUUUCGUCUUUUAACAUUGCAGAAAUUCGAUUUUUUAACCUAAAAAAGCUAACAUGAUUAGAAAAAUGCAUCUACUAAAAUCUAAUCAAACUCCAGGUCUUUAAAGAGGGAAAGAAUGCUAAUUAAUUUCGUCAAAAACCAAAUAGAACCCAAAACUAUAUUAAGGUUCGAAACUGAUGCUUUUCUGCAGAAUACCUAACAUCAAAGGCUUCAUGCUUUUACCUUUGUCAUUUACAAAUGAAUUGUAGACUUUAAAGUCAUUUAAAACCAAAUUAAAAAUACAACUGAAUUAUAAAUAGAUAAAUUGAUGCUAUGCUUUAAACUCCAUUUUUCAUUUCAUAUUUCAAGUUAGGCUUCACAUCUGGUAGAGUCCAGGGACAUGUACCUGGUUACAACAAUCAAAAUAAGAAAAAAUGAGCGUGAAGUCUAAGAGGAAACAACAACAGUAGAUUCGAUUCAGUAAACCUGCAACAACCAGUUUUGAAAACCAAUUUUAAACUCAAAAAUAACCCUAGAAUUCUUUGUAAUAUUCAGAUACUAGAACCAACAAGCAGCUGAACCAAUUUCCACCAGAAAUUAUAAUGGAUUUCAGUAUUUUUGAAGACUCUAUUGCUUUUCUAAAAUUUCAGUAUUUUUUCAUCUCAUUAUUCUCUGACUUAAGAAUGAAGCAAUUAGCCUUUUAUAAGGAAGUUUUAGGAUAGCAGAAACGAGUUCAGUUUUUGCCUUUUAAUCCUUUUUUAAUUUUUAUUUUUGCUACCGAAUCCUUGGUUUAAAAACUUGUUUGUUAAAACAGCCCCAAACCCACCUUCCUAGAAGUUUCCUAACUCAGUUAUAAUAGAUUUUAACCUAAAAUUCCUAAACUACCCUUAUAAUCCCUGUUAUUUACUUUCAUGAACCAGCUAUGGGUCAUGUUGACCCAAAGGCUCAGCAGGCCUCUUGAAGUGGGGGCGAGGAUGGCCUCAAAACCCAAUCAAUAAACUGAUCCAGUCCAAAUAAGUGAUUUAUGAAAAGCGGAAGAAAACAAACACCUAAAUGAUUUCAAAACUAAAAUAUAACUACACGACUGAUCAAUUAUACAAAUAAGCAUACAAUUAACUAGGUUAUUAAAUCGAAACGACCAAAUUAAACUGACUAUAAGACUAAAAAAUAAAGAUAAAACUCAGGAUUUUAACAUGACAUGAACAAAAGUUAACGGGCGAAUGAAUAAAACAACAGAAAUUAGAGAACAAGCUUUUAAAAUUUGAAAAAAAAACUACACAAAAAUAAAUGGAACAAAUAAGAACACAACAAUCAAUCUAAAGGGAAAACUUAGGUUUGAACCUUGCUCAAUUUCCGGUCUACUAAAAGAAGAGGAGAAGAAAAGAAGAGGAGUAGGAGGUGAAAUAACAAAAAAUGGACAGAGAAACAAAUAAAACUUAUCUACUAAACUCGAAACCAACACUAGACUCAUUGAUUUAACACGACCAUUGUUAAUCGUUUGUUCUUUAUCAAGAACAACGACCAACACUGCUUUAUGUCAAAUUAAAGAUUAAAAACUUAAAAAUUCGGGAGUCUAGAUCAUGCAUGCCAACGAUUUGAGGGUACGGUGGGCGUUUGGGGUUUCGAACUUAGAUUUAAAAUUCAAAAGGAUGUGGAAAGAUUCGAGGGAAAUGGUUUUGAGAUUGGGAAGGGGAGGCUGUGAGGGUGUUGUGGUGCUGAUUUGGGGCUAACUAGGGGUGGCACCUUCACUGGAGAACGUUAGGGCGGAGCUAAGGUUAAGGGCGAUCUUAGAAGAGAAGAGUGAAG